rnacentral:lncRNA from 1 species
GGGAGAGUAGCCUGGAUUACCCAGGUGUGCCCAAUGUAAUCACAAGGCUCAUUAAAAGCCGAAGAGGGAGAGGAGAGAGUCAGAGUCAGAGAGCUAUGAGGAUGCUGUGCUGUGGGUUUUACACGUGGAGGAAGGGACUGCGAGCUCAGGAAUGCAGGCGGCCUCUAGGAGUGGGAAAAGGCAGGAAACAGUCUCCCCAAGAACGUCCUAAGGGAUGGCGGCCUGGUUGGUGCCUUUCUGUGAGUCACUGAGACCCAUGCAGUUUCCAACAUCCAGAACUGUGAGAUAAUGAAGGUGUGCUGCUUUAAGCCACUGUUUGUGGCAAUGUGUCACAGCAGCAACAGGAAACUAAUACAAUGUCAUAAUCCCAAGGUAGGCCCCCCCCACCUCUGACUGCGGACACCUCAGUCAGCCGGGGCUCAGCCGUCGAAUGACCCCAGAGACCAUUACCCACUCAGCAGCACUCAGAGACUUUGCUUUCCUAACACAGGGCUGCUCAAGGCCCUUUGGCUUUAAGAAAGACUCCCUAUUUCUACUCCCUUGAAUCUAAUCUCCCAGAGCCAAGAGCUGUGCUCGUCUGCUUCCCUGCUUGGUGGUAAAACUUUUCCAACCAGAGCUCAGUCUUUCGUCUCAUAUUCUCCAUUGAUUUUCCUUUAGCAUUCCAGAAUAAAAUCAUUAAUAAACCAAAUCAAAACAAAACAAAAAGUGGCAACGUGCUCGUUCCCUGAUUCCAAGUCUCCCGCUUCAUGCUGCAUGCCUCUUUUCCUCUUUACAGUUGGCUUAUUAAAUAUCAGUCUUUGCUCAUGGUCUCUUGCCUUCCCUACCCUUUCCCAGUCAUUCUCAAUCCACUGCAACUGCAUUCUCUCUCCAACAUCCUGACAGAAGAAGUGCAAUCAUGCUCAUCAGUGAUUUAGUUGUUAAUGCCAACAAGCAAUUCUCGGUUUACUUAACUUGACCCAUCGUCAACAUCUGACACUCCUGGGAUGCCUCCUUCAUGAACUCUUCUUUCAUCCCUUGGGGCCUGGGGGACC